rnacentral:sRNA from 1 species
GCUGGGUGCAGUGGCGCACACCUGUAAUCCCAGUAGCUUGGGAGGCUGAGAUAGGAGAAUCCUGAGUUCAAAGCCAGCCUCAGCAAUGGCGAGACACCAAGCAACUCAGUGAGACCCUGUCUCUA